CGUUUGACUUAUAAAAAUGGUGGAAACAUAGAUUAAGUUAUUAAGGGCGCACGGUGGAUGCCUUGGCACUAGAAGCCGAUGAAGGACGUUACUAACGACGAUAUGCUUUGGGGAGCUGUAAGUAAGCUUUGAUCCAGAGAUUUCCGAAUGGGGAAACCCAGCAUGAGUUAUGUCAUGUUAUCGAUAUGUGAAUACAUAGCAUAUCAGAAGGCACACCCGGAGAACUGAAACAUCUUAGUACCCGGAGGAAGAGAAAGAAAAUUCGAUUCCCUUAGUAGCGGCGAGCGAAACGGGAAGAGCCCAAACCAACAAGCUUGCUUGUUGGGGUUGUAGGACACUCUAUACGGAGUUACAAAGGACGACAUUAGACGAAUCAUCUGGAAAGAUGAAUCAAAGAAGGUAAUAAUCCUGUAGUCGAAAAUGUUGUCUCUCUUGAGUGGAUCCUGAGUACGACGGAGCACGUGAAAUUCCGUCGGAAUCUGGGAGGACCAUCUCCUAAGGCUAAAUACUCUCUAGUGACCGAUAGUGAACCAGUACCGUGAGGGAAAGGUGAAAAGCACCCCGGAAGGGGAGUGAAAUAGAACCUGAAACCGUGUGCUUACAAGUAGUCAGAGCCCGUUAAYGGGUGAUGGCGUGCCUUUUGUAGAAUGAACCGGCGAGUUACGAUUUGAUGCAAGGUUAAGCAGUAAAUGUGGAGCCGUAGCGAAAGCGAGUCUGAAUAGGGCGUUUAGUAUUUGGUCGUAGACCCGAAACCAGGUGAUCUACCCUUGGUCAGGUUGAAGUUCAGGUAACACUGAAUGGAGGACCGAACCGACUUACGUUGAAAAGUGAGCGGAUGAACUGAGGGUAGCGGAGAAAUUCCAAUCGAACCUGGAGAUAGCUGGUUCUCUCCGAAAUAGCUUUAGGGCUAGCCUCAAGUGAUGAUUAUUGGAGGUAGAGCACUGUUUGGACGAGGGGCCCCUCUCGGGUUACCGAAUUCAGACAAACUCCGAAUGCCAAUUAAUUUAACUUGGGAGUCAGAACAUGGGUGAUAAGGUCCGUGUUCGAAAGGGAAACAGCCCAGACCACCAGCUAAGGUCCCAAAAUAUAUGUUAAGUGGAAAAGGAUGUGGCGUUGCCCAGACAACUAGGAUGUUGGCUUAGAAGCAGCCAUCAUUUAAAGAGUGCGUAAUAGCUCACUAGUCGAGUGACACUGCGCCGAAAAUGUACCGGGGCUAAACAUAUUACCGAAGCUGUGGAUUGUCCUUUGGACAAUGGUAGGAGAGCGUUCUAAGGGCGUUGAAGCAUGAUCGUAAGGACAUGUGGAGCGCUUAGAAGUGAGAAUGCCGGUGUGAGUAGCGAAAGACGGGUGAGAAUCCCGUCCACCGAUUGACUAAGGUUUCCAGAGGAAGGCUCGUCCGCUCUGGGUUAGUCGGGUCCUAAGCUGAGGCCGACAGGCGUAGGCGAUGGAUAACAGGUUGAUAUUCCUGUACCACCUAUAAUCGUUUUAAUCGAUGGGGGGACGCAGUAGGAUAGGCGAAGCGUGCGAUUGGAUUGCACGUCUAAGCAGUAAGGCUGAGUAUUAGGCAAAUCCGGUACUCGUUAAGGCUGAGCUGUGAUGGGGAGAAGACAUUGUGUCUUCGAGUCGUUGAUUUCACACUGCCGAGAAAAGCCUCUAGAUAGAAAAUAGGUGCCCGUACCGCAAACCGACACAGGUAGUCAAGAUGAGAAUUCUAAGGUGAGCGAGCGAACUCUCGUUAAGGAACUCGGCAAAAUGACCCCGUAACUUCGGGAGAAGGGGKGCUCUUUAGGGUUAACGCCCAGAAGAGCCGCAGUGAAUAGGCCCAAGCGACUGUUUAUCAAAAACACAGGUCUCUGCUAAACCGUAAGGUGAUGUAUAGGGGCUGACGCCUGCCCGGUGCUGGAAGGUUAAGAGGAGUGGUUAGCUUCUGCGAAGCUACGAAUCGAAGCCCCAGUAAACGGCGGCCGUAACUAUAACGGUCCUAAGGUAGCGAAAUUCCUUGUCGGGUAAGUUCCGACCCGCACGAAAGGCGUAACGAUUUGGGCACUGUCUCAACGAGAGACUCGGUGAAAUCAUAGUACCUGUGAAGAUGCAGGUUACCCGCGACAGGACGGAAAGACCCCGUGGAGCUUUACUGUAGCCUGAUAUUGAAAUUCGGCACAGCUUGUACAGGAUAGGUAGGAGCCUUUGAAACGUGAGCGCUAGCUUACGUGGAGGCGCUGGUGGGAUACUACCCUAGCUGUGUUGGCUUUCUAACCCGCACCACUUAUCGUGGUGGGAGACAGUGUCAGGCGGGCAGUUUGACUGGGGCGGUCGCCUCCUAAAAGGUAACGGAGGCGCUCAAAGGUUCCCUCAGAAUGGUUGGAAAUCAUUCAUAGAGUGUAAAGGCAUAAGGGAGCUUGACUGCGAGACCUACAAGUCGAGCAGGGUCGAAAGACGGACUUAGUGAUCCGGUGGUUCCGCAUGGAAGGGCCAUCGCUCAACGGAUAAAAGCUACCCCGGGGAUAACAGGCUUAUCUCCCCCAAGAGUUCACAUCGACGGGGAGGUUUGGCACCUCGAUGUCGGCUCAUCGCAUCCUGGGGCUGUAGUCGGUCCCAAGGGUUGGGCUGUUCGCCCAUUAAAGCGGUACGCGAGCUGGGUUCAGAACGUCGUGAGACAGUUCGGUCCCUAUCCGUCGUGGGCGUAGGAAAUUUGAGAGGAGCUGUCCUUAGUACGAGAGGACCGGGAUGGACAUACCUCUGGUGUACCAGUUGUCGUGCCAACGGCAUAGCUGGGUAGCUAUGUGUGGACGGGAUAAGUGCUGAAAGCAUCUAAGCAUGAAGCCCCCCUCAAGAUGAGAUUUCCCAACUUCGGUUAUAAGAUCCCUCAAAGAUGAUGAGGUUAAUAGGUUCGAGGUGGAAGCAUGGUGACAUGUGGAGCUGACGAAUACUAAUCGAUCGAAGACUUAAUCAA
rnacentral:rRNA from 1 species